rnacentral:rRNA from 1 species
UAAGCCAUGCAUGUCUAAGUAUAAAUAGAAUACAGUGAAACUGCGAAUGGCUCAUUAAAACAGUUAUAGUUUAUUUGAUGAUUGAAGUCUACAUGGAUAACCGUGGUAAUUCUAGAGCUAAUACAUGCAUUCAGGCCCGACUCACGAAGGGCUGUAUUUAUUAGAUAUGAAGCCAAUAUUCCGCAAGGUCUAUUGUGGUGAAUCAUAGUAACUGAUCGGAUCCCCAACUGGGGAUAGAUCAUUCAAGUUUCUGCCCUAUCAGCUUUCGAUGGUAGUGUAUUGGACUACCAUGGCAGUAACGGGUAACGGAGAAUUAGGGUUCGGUUCCGGAGAGGGAGCCUGAGAAACGGCUACCACAUCUAAGGAAGGCAGCAGGCGCGUAAAUUACCCAAUGCAGAUUCUGCGAGGUAGUGACAAUACAUAACAACCUGGGGUCUCACGACUUACGGGAUUGCAAUGAGAACAAUUUAAAAACCUUAACGAGGAACAAGUGGAGGGCAAGUCUGGUGCCAGCAGCCGCGGUAAUUCCAGCUCCACUAGCGUAUAUUAAAGUUGUUGCAGUUAAAAAGCUCGUAGUUGAACUUCUGGUUGUGCGCCAGUGGUCGGUCUUCGAUCGCCCUGGGUGCAGCCAUCCGUCUGCAAACUUUUACAUCCUUAACUGGUUUGUCUAAGGGAGCAGGCAUUUUACUUUGAAAAAAUUAGAGUGUUUAAGGCAGGCACUAGCCGCUGAAUACAUUAGCAUGGAAUAAUGGAAUAGGACGCCUUGUCCAUUUGAUUGGUUAUUGGACUUGCGUAAUGAUUA